AAAUUAAAAAAAAAAAAGAGUAAAUUCCCACUGAGAAAAGGGAACAAAACAGAGAAAAAAUGGUCAUUCUUUGAUAAAGAAAGAAUUAUCAUGCUUGUGAAGUUCUCUGAUAUCUAUCUUGUUGAAUGUUUCAUGAUUUUGGUGCUAUUCAAAAUUAGAAAUAUAGGUCUUUCACUAUUAUGUCCAACUCAACAUCUUUUACUUUGGUUUCACACAUGGAUUAUCAUUUUGUUUGGUUUCCUGUCAUGCUAGAUCCAAGAGUGAGUUGGUUUAAAUGAGUUUUCUUUUCUAGCACUGGAUAUUCCUAUGAAGAGAAAGAACUUUUGCAUGAUUUCAGUAAAGAGCUCCUAGUCUUUAAAUCUGAAUAUUAGUUUGAGUAAAUCAGUGCACUCAGUCAACAGCUUAUGAACAGACUAGAUAAACGCUUAUUUAUGUUUGUUUAUUGAGUUAAUUGAAACAGUUUGAACAAAAAAUUUGAGCUCAGUUUGUUCUUUUGUAGGGUUUUCUUUCUCCUCCCUAUUUUCCUAGUAUGAGUUUCAAGGAAGAUAUUAAAUUUUAGUAUUUCAAUUGUUUAACUCAACUCAACUCAACUA
rnacentral:misc_RNA from 1 species